rnacentral:lncRNA from 1 species
GGAAGGCCAAUAAAUGUUGAUUUCGUUUCAUGUACAUAUAGAAUAAAUUUUGUGAUAUAUGAAUCUUUGAAAAAUGGUUUUAACAUAUAGGUAAAUGGUAAUGUAAAGUGAUGAUGGCUUAUGCUUAUGCUUAAAAUGUUAUGCGAAAAAGAAAAAAAAAAAGAAGGUUUUAGGAGAAAUAAAUUAAUGACGUCUGUAUUCUUUUAAUUGUUCUUAUUAUUUUUUUAAGAAAAAAAAUACAUUAGCAUUAAAGCCAAUUUAUUCUAAUUAUUUUCUCCAGAUUGAGAUUUAGAUGAACCUUAAUUAAAUUCAAUUUGUAAAUUUCAAUUCUAAAAGUCCAAAUCUUUUCUCGUUCGUGUUCUCGAAUUCAUAAGAGGCACUCAUCUUCAUUUUUUUUUUGUCGCUUUGUUCGUUCUGCAAUGAGGGAGGCGCGAACCUCCUUUUCCUCUUCUCAAUUUCUGGUUCGUGCUUCGUAGGGAGGGAAGACUCCCUUUCGCUUCUCAGUGUCGGUUCGUUCCUGUAGGGAGGGAGGCGACUUCGAAUGGCUUAGGCGCAUCUUUCAUUUUCUUGCGGCGUUGUGGAUGCUGAAGCAGCAACGCCUUUGCAGUAGCGGCACCUUCGCACUAGGUUCAUGUUCCGGCGUCUUCGCAGCGAACGGAAGUCGCGUCUGAUUCGCAGUUUAGGGUUCCUUAUUAUCGCAAUUUGGAAAUUUUGGGGUUUCUGAUUUUGCGAUUUGGAUGGGUUUCUUAUUUUCCUCUCUGUAGAUUGGUGUUUAUCAUCUUGCAAUUUGGGAUUUUUUUUUCCUUUAUUAGCAAUUUUGGGAAGGUUGAGUCGCGAGGAAGAAGACCCUGUCACGUUUCGUUCUUGAUUUCUGUUAUUUAUUUAUUUAUUUAGGGUUUCGUUUCCGAUUAGGUUUCUGAUCUAGCGGUCGGGUCAAGCUGUAGUGGUUUACACCUUCAUAGCAAUUUGGAGGGUGAAUGUAGGUUGAAUGUAUGCGGCGGUUGUGAUGACAGUCGGGAUAGUUGCCAGCGACAUCACAAGUACUUUGGACUAUAUUGAUUUUGUUUGAACUUAGUUGGGCCUAGAGGGCCAGAUUAGACUCUGCAUUUUAAAUGCAAUAAUAAUAAUA